rnacentral:rRNA from 1 species
CCAAGGAGUUCAGCACAUGUGCAGGUCGUUGGGUAUAGACACCCGAAGGCACAGUGAAAGCAAGCGAUGCAACUCGGUUGUAUCACAGUGGCAAGAUCUCGGUUCUUUUUGAGCUGGGCGCAUUGCCGGCCCGUUUUCUAGCUACGCGCUCGAAACGGAGUUGGAGCACAUACGCUGAGACCCGAAAGAUGGUGAACUAUGCCUGGGCAGGAUGAAGUCAGGGGAAACUCUGAUGGAAGUCCGUAGCGAUUCUGACGUGCAAAUCGAUCGUCUGACCUGGGUAUAGGGGCGAAAGACUAAUCGAACCAUCUAAUAGCUGGUUCCUUCCGAAGUUUCCCUCAGGAUAGCUGGUGCUAUUUGUUCAGUCUCUCCCGGUAAAGCGAAUGAUUAGAGGUCUUGGGGGCAAAACGCCCUCAACCUAUUCUCAAACUUUAAAUGGGUGAGAAGUCCAGCUUACUUAAGUGAAGUCUGGACUCUAGGAUGUUUGAGUACCAAGUGGGCCAUUUUUGGUAAGCAGAACUGGCGCUGUGGGAUGAACCGAACGCUGGGUUACGGUGUCCGAGUAUACGCUCAUCAGACCCCACAAAAGGUGUUGGUUGCUAUAGACAGCAGGACGGUGGCCAUGGAAGUCGGAA